CCUACGGGUGGCUGCAGUGAGGAAUAUUGGUCAAUGGGCGGGAGCCUGAACCAGCCAAGUCGCGUGAGGGAAGACGGUCCUAUGGAUUGUAAACCUCUUUUGGCGGGGAGCAAUGCCGGGCACGCGUGCCCGGAGGGAGAGUCCCCGCAGAAUAAGCAUCGGCUAACUCCGUGCCAGCAGCGGCGGUAAUACGGAGGAUUCAAGCGUUAUCCGGAUUUAUUGGGUUUAAAGGGUGCGUAGGCGGUCGGAUAAGUUAGUGGUGAAAUCCUGAGGCUCAACUUCGGAAUUGCCUCUGAUACUGGCCGCCUAGAGGGUAGUUGCGGUAGGCGGAAUGUAUGGUGUAGCGGUGAAAUGCUUAGAUAUCAUACAGAACACCGAUUGCGAAGGCAGCUUACCAAGCUACUUCUGACGUUGAGGCACGAAAGCGUGGGGAGCAAACAGGAUUAGAUACCCGGGUAGUC
rnacentral:rRNA from 1 species